CCUUCUCCUCCAUUCCGGCCCGGUUCCAAUCCGGAUCGACGCGGAGAGGGAGGGCGACGGGGCGCGGCUGGCGGCGCGCUCGCCGACGAUGGUGCACGGAGAGGGGAGGGCGGGGCUGGCGGCGCAUGAAGGUUCGCGGGCGACGGCGAAGCGGCACAACGGCACACUGGCGGCAAGCAUCUCACCAGUGCGAAUGGUCGGGAGGGAGGCGGCAGCACUGCUCCUGACGACCGCGGCGUGCCAUGCCCCCGCGCGCUUCAUGCUCGUGCUCUGCUGGCUGAAUUCUUGAUUGGGUCGGCAGGUUUGCGCUAAUCUGAUCCACUCAGAUCGGUCGCCAAAUCAAGCACUCCUACUCGUAUCUCAAUUUGUGGCCGGCUUGACAUAAUCUGGAACCAAAUCAAGCUAGCUAGUUGUAUAUCAUCUCUCGUGCAUCUUUCUUCUCGACCUAUAUAUUGCAAAAUGUUGAUGUCCGUUUUUGCAUUAUUGCACAUCCAAGCUCUCCGCCACCUUCCUCCACCUUCUCGCCGGUAAGGCACUGCCCUCCUCUUCAUUCCCCUGUUCUGUUGAUUUAGAUCUAGUCUUGCUCGAUCUUGUGUGGUGUUCUUGGAUCCCAUUGUUGCUAAUUGCCAGGAUGCCCAGACGGAGCUGAGGGCGCACAUGUGGCGGCGGUACUCACCGAUGGAGAGGAAGCACCGCGCUGGAAUUCGCCGAUGGAGGAGUGCAGGAAUUCGCUACUGAUUCAAUGGCUGAAAUUCUUUUUUUUUUCCUUCGUCUCUUGUCAGAAUGUCAGUUCACGCGAUGUUCUACUAGUAUUUCAUUGUGUUUUUUUUUUAGUUUGGAGCUCAAUCUAUUCAAGAAGUUCAAGCUCCGGAGUUCUUGUGUCGUGGCUUGGUAAUCUUGCAGGUGCCUUGGUAAAGGAUGAGAUGAGGUGCUAAUAUGUGAAAAUAGGCAUUGGGUUUAUCCGACAGUAGUUCGAUCCUUGCUUGGGCUUGAUAUUAGGCAUUGGGUGAUAGUACUACUGAGUCAAGGACUGGCGUGCUUCCAGUUCCUGCUGUCUACUCUAAACUAUCCAUCAAUUGUGAGUGACAGACUUGGAUACAAACAUGUGAUACUGACUGCUAUGUUUACGAAUCAUCAAAAGACACUGUGUGAUGAGGUUAUUCAAUUAGGAAGUGGCAGCAUGUUCCCCUGUUU